GACAAACGCUCCACUAAGAAGGAAAAGUUGGCUUAAUGCCCAGUUUUAAUUGUGCCCGUUCUUUUCAGCGCGCACACUGGGUCGGUUCGGCCCGUACGAGAAAAUUCGAAGCGUUGACUUUUGAUUCGUUGCGGAUGAGCGCUGUUACGAGGAAAUGGAAUCGACACGAAUAGAGAGUGAUCAAGGUUCGGCAGGGAGGACACAGAGGAGAGUCGAAUGGAAUUGGGGAAAGUGGUGCAGCUAAUGCAACCACGGCCAUAAGCGAAACGCCUAUUAACUCCCUUACGAACACCUACCUCUGGGGAACUUUAGCUCAUCGCAUUGGGUUACAUUAAGUGUCGAGUCAAAACAAACGACCUGACAGGACGAAGGAUCAUCGGCUCGGCAGGAUUGUCAGUCAACAAGAAUAGCCGUGCUUGAAGGAUGAUGCGUCUCUGAUGCGGAGGAAUGGUCUCGAAUUCUUGAAAUUACGUAGCGACUUAAAAUCAGCUUUAGGAAUCGAUCAAAUUAUAUGAGAAGACUCGUAGUGCGGAGCUUUUUAAACGUUGUGUACAUAGAAGCCUCUUUUGAGGACGAGUGUAUGUUGAUGCAAUUUUACUUAGAUACCGCCAAUAAGCUAUUCACAGAUAGAAUUAUCUCAAUAGGAACUUUAUAUGCACGUUCGAAUCUCUUGUGUUGAAGCUAAAACCCUUAGGAAUAUUUUACUUCUAUACAGUAUAGUAUCAUUCCUCCAAUAAUAGCAGCGGAUAGUGCAGACUCAUCAUACAUAGACUAGUUAUGUUUGUUCCCGUUAAGUGCACUGUUUACCUGUCUCGAUCAAGCAAGAUGGCUAAUCGUUGUACUCGUUGAAACGAAAAAUUUGUACGAAAUACGAGUAAAUAUGAAAAAUGUAGAUCGCAGUUAGAUCAAUUCCUAUAGUAACUAAGACAUCGUCCUUUACGUUGCCUACGUCCAAUGCUGACAGCCUCGAAGUUCCUGAGGGGCGUAAUUUGGCUAAAUGCCAAUUGUGAUUUAUGUCGAUUCUGCCAAUCACUCUUGGCUAUGACUUCACAGCUUUUCCUUAAAAGGCUUCCGUAGAGUCCAACAAAAGCUAAUAACAGUCGCCUCAUUUAUGUGUCCUGGUUCAAAUGACUUUAAUCAAGACACGUGGUAGGGCAGACAUCACUCGCUUUUCUCAUCAUAUGUGUUUUGUGUUUCGUUCCGCUGUUGGUCAACAAAAAUAGGCUAGCUAUCAUCCUUUCGGCCAAAAAACAAAGUGGACCUUCAUCAGACUAAACGUUCAUCUCUAAACCCUUUUAAAGACUAUUGUUUAAUAUAUAUAAGGUUUAAAAAAAAAAACGAAUAGUUUUUAGGAGCGGAAUUAUCGGCUCUUCGAGCGCACACUACUACAGACGAUAUAAUCUCACGUUCUUCCAUGCUAUUUAAGACAGUAGACAAAUCCUGUUUGCUAACCAGACCUACUUUGCACAGAGGAUG